rnacentral:tRNA from 1 species
GGGUUAGUAGCUCAGUUGGUAGAGCAACGGACUCUUAAUCCGCAGGUCCAGGGUUCGAAUCCCUGCUAACCCA